GUGCCAGCCGCCGCGGUAAUACGAAGGGGGCUAGCGUUGCUCGGAAUGACUGGGCGUAAAGGGCGUGUAGGCGGUUUGUACAGUCAGAUGUGAAAUCCCCGGGCUUAACCUGGGAGCUGCAUUUGAUACGUGCAGACUAGAGUGUGAGAGAGGGUUGUGGAAUUCCCAGUGUAGAGGUGAAAUUCGUAGAUAUUGGGAAGAACACCGGUGGCGAAGGCGGCAACCUGGCUCAUGACUGACGCUGAGGCGCGAAAGCGUGGGGAGCAACAGGAUUAGAUACCCUGGUAGUCCACGCCGUAAACGAUGAGUGCUAAGUGGUUGGAGGUUUCCGCCUUCGAGUGCUGCAGCUAACGCAUUAAGCACUCCGCCGUGGGGA
rnacentral:rRNA from 1 species